GCCCAUCGCCCAAUUGCCGACCCACAGUAGGGGCUUUUGGCCCCCAAGGGCACGUGUCGUAGGUGCAGCGACCGCGGCGAACAAGUCGUGGGCGCCUCUUUGGAGCGUAAUUCCCACCGAGCGGCGGGUAGAAUCCUUUGUAGAUGACUUACAUACGCGACGGGGUAUUGUAAGUGGCAGAGUGGCCUUGCUGCCACGAUCCACUGAGAUUCAGCCCUUUGUCGCUUUGAUUC
rnacentral:ncRNA from 1 species